rnacentral:rRNA from 1 species
AAAUUGAAGAGUUUGAUCAUGGCUCAGAUUGAACGCUGGCGGCAGGCCUAACACAUGCAAGUCGAACGGUAACAGGAAGCAGCUUGCUGUUUCGCUGACGAGUGGCGGACGGGUGAGUAAUGUCUGGGAAACUGCCUGAUGGAGGGGGAUAACUACUGGAAACGGUAGCUAAUACCGCAUAACGUCGCAAGACCAAAGAGGGGGACCUUCGGGCCUCUUGCCAUCGGAUGUGCCCAGAUGGGAUUAGCUAGUAGGUGGGGUAACGGCUCACCUAGGCGACGAUCCCUAGCUGGUCUGAGAGGAUGACCAGCCACACUGGAACUGAGACACGGUCCAGACUCCUACGGGAGGCAGCAGUGGGGAAUAUUGCACAAUGGGCGCAAGCCUGAUGCAGCCAUGCCGCGUGUAUGAAGAAGGCCUUCGGGUUGUAAAGUACUUUCAGCGGGGAGGAAGGGAGUAAAGUUAAUACCUUUGCUCAUUGACGUUACCCGCAGAAGA